CCUGGCUUAGAACGAACGCUGGCGGCGCGUCUUAAGCAUGCAAGUCGAGCGGUAAGAUUGGUGCUUGCACUAAUCCUAGAGCGGCGGACUGGUGAGUAACGCGUGGGUGACGUACCUCUGUGACGGGGACAGCUCCUAGAAAUAGGGGAUAAUACCGGAUACGCUGUGUGCUGUCAGAGGGCACACAGGAAAGGAUCUUUUGAUUCGCACAGAGAGCGGCCCGCGUACUAUUAGCUAGUUGGUGAGGUAACGGCCCACCAAGGCGACGAUAGUUACCCGGCCCAAGAGGGUGAUCGGGCACAUUGGGACUGAGAUACGGCCCAGACUCCUACGGGAGGCAGCAGCUAAGAAUAUUCCGCAAUGGACGAAAGUCUGACGGAGCGACGCCGCGUGGAUGAUGAAGGCCGGAAGGUUGUAAAAUCCUUUUAUGACUGAGGAAUAAGGAAAGUGAGAGAAACGCUUUCUGGUGACUGUAGGUCAUGAAUAAGCAACGGCUAAUUACGUGCCAGCCGCAGC
rnacentral:rRNA from 1 species